rnacentral:rRNA from 1 species
GACAGAGGUCCCGAGCGUUAGGCGGAAUCACUGGGCUUAAAGCGUGUGUAGGCGGAUCGUUAAGUACCUUGUGAAAUCCCUCGGCUUAACCGGGGAACUGCGUCUGAUACUGGAUGGCUAGAGGUUGGGAGAGGGAUGCGGAAUUCCAGGUGUAGCGGUGAAAUGCGUAGAUAUCUGGAGGAAUACCGGUGGCGAAGGCGGCAUCCUGGACCGACAUUGACGCUGAGGCGCGAAAGCUAGGGGAGCAAACGGG